rnacentral:lncRNA from 10 species
AGGUGGGGACCUCAGGCGACGGCAGCUGGGUGAGAUUCAGCUCACAGUGCGCUAUGUGUGUCUGCGGCGCUGCCUCAGCGUGCUAAUCAAUGGCUGCAGCAGUGGAGCUGAUCCCUACGUCCGUGUCUACUUGUUGCCAGAAAGGAAGUGGGCAUGUCGUAAGAAGACUUCAGUGAAGCGGAAGACCUUGGAACCCCUGUUUGAUGAGACAUUUGAAUUUUUUGUUCCCAUGGAAGAAGUAAAGAAGAGGUCACUAGAUGUUGCAGUGAAAAAUAGUAGGCCACUUGGCUCACACAGAAGAAAGGAGUUAGGAAAAGUACUGAUUGACUUAUCAAAAGAAGAUCUGAUUAAGGGCUUUUCACAAUGGUAUGAGCUGACUCCAAAUGGACAGCCCAGAAGCUGAUGAUGAGAAUUCUUAUCACUCACCUUUAUAUUAAAAUGUAUAUAUAUGUAUAUAUUUUUUCCUUUGGAUCACUUACAUCCAAUAUAUGUAUAUUUUGUCAUUUAAAUCAGAACAACCACUUGAAAUUAUAUACAUACAAUUCUUGUGUGGAAUUUAACUCCAUGACUGAAUAGCAUAAGGAAGAGGUUAUUUAAAAGCAAGAACUACUUUUUUUGGUUGGAUUUUUUUGUUCAAGUCCAGAAAGAAAUGUUAUAUUUGUGCCUACUAAAUUAUCCAAACCUCAGUGUUUAUAUACUUAAACAAGUGCCACUUUUUAGUAGGUAAUUAUAUACCAUCUGAUUUAGGACUUACCUGAAUGUAUGUACCAGAAAGUGUCCUGCCUCUGGCAUAGGGGCUGGGGGAGGUCUGUUUCUGGAGCCACUACCAGCAUUCCUGGGCAGUGACUGGCCAAAGGGAAGUCACUUUUUUAUGGAAAUAGAAAGUGACCCAACUCAAAACUGCCAAGAGCUAACACUGCCAAAGCCCUUCUGGCUGCCACCUGUGGUACUUGUAUGCCUGGAUAUUUGUUCUUUUAUUUGACCUGGAGCUAAAAAUGUAUUUCCCUACUGGCAAAAAUGUUAUACUGAUAUACUUAAAUACCUUGAGUUAAAUACUCUUGUGUAGUCUAAGGGCCAAACUCCAGCGUGUAGCAUUAUUUCCAUAGGAAAAUGCAAACCAAGUUCCAAGCCCAGGUCUAUGUCUGACUCUCAUAGCAAAGCACUGGAGACUGCUGAAGAGUGUCACCAUCAGAGAAAAGGAAGCUUUCAGAUAAGUUUAGGCUAUUCAACUUUUCUAAAGAGAUGGUUGGUUCACCUAAAUAACAUGUUAAAAGCAAAGUAUUAAAUUAUAUGCUUAAACAAGCGCCUCUUUUACAUUUCAGACUUUACAAGACCAAAUAUACUUCUCAUCCCCUCCAACAUUCCUGGACCUCCUCUUCUCUCUUACCAACACCAACACUACCUGCCGUCAGUUUUCUGUCUCUGCCUCUGCCUUCACUGCCACUUUUCUGAAGCAGGGCAACAUUCGAGAACAAAGUUUUGUCAUGUUACUCUUAUUCCAGUUUCCUGCCAUCUGAUUCACAUGCAGAUGUUCUAUUCCAGAGUAGUCCAAAUACUAUGCUCUGCUGACUCAAGUCAUGUCUCAAACCUAUUUCCUCUAUUAAGUAAGUCAGUCAAUCCAUAGUGAAAUGGACUCUUCCUACCGCCUGUAGCAUUUACUGUUGAUACUGAGUAUUUUCCAUUUUAAUAGUUCCCAGCCUUUAUAACACUAAGUUUUAAGAAAUGUUGAUUAGGCAUCUGCUAAGGUUACAUGCUAAGCAGCUACUUAUAUUGUAUUUGGUAUUUAAUUUUGUUUAUUCUCCAGUUGAACAGUAGGGAACAAUUCAAGCUACUUGAAUUGUUUUUCACCCUCACCAUCCAAGACCGUGUUAAGUACAUAGAAGAUGCAUGGUGAAAUUCGUUUCUGCUGAGGUUUCUAUUUUAAAUGGCAAAUUCUCAUAAUAAAAUGGAGCAUUGAUGCCUACCCUGUCUACCUUAUGAUGGCAUUCUAAUUGCCCCCUAAAUAGACAAGUGCCUUGAAAAUGGAGAAGCACCAGAGAAAUAAGGGAAUGUAUCAUAUGUACAUCGAAACAUUAGCAACCCUAAAACAGCUAAUCAAAAUGGCAGAUAAGUGAAAACCUACCCCUCUUCUUCCAAACUUAAACCACAAACAUUUAUUUUAAACGUGGUCAAUUGAACCGUUUUUACCUGUGUCAGGCAACACAGGUAAAUACCUGGUGAUGGUCUGAAGAGGAGUUAAAAUGUUGAAGGGAACCAGAAUUUUAGUACACAGCAGACAGGAGGCAAGGUUAUAUAGGCGCUGUGUGAGGGGCAGGGAGCCUGAAAAGUUGUUAAUACCUUGGCUGCCACUGAGGACAAGAAUUGGUUUUCAGCAGUGGGUGGAAACAAUCAGCUAAUAUGCAGGAGCAUAGGGUCUGAAGUUAACAUCAUCUUGGUACAGAAACCCCCAAACCUAAGACGGAAUGUGAAUAUUGGUUUAGAACCUGGAAGCCUGUGAAGCCUUGAUGGAGGCAACCAUAAAAUUGGCCCCACAGGGUUGCCACUCCCAUCCAGGGCACAUAUGCGACAACUGCAGCAGAUGGCUGUCACUAAAGGGAAACUCACGGGCAAAAAUAAAUUAUGAAACAAAACAAAAACAGACUUUAAAAAAAAUACAAAGUACACAGGAAUAUCAAACUGAAAAAUAGCCAUAGAUAAUAUUUCAGCCAGAAGGAAAAUGUACCAGUAAGGCAGAAAUAGCAUGUGAGAAGCAGUGGAAAGCAAAGAAAUCCAUAAAAUACAUUGGCAAACCUAAGCAAGUUUUGAUGAUGAUUGUUCACAAGAUAUAAACAAAUAACCAAAGAUUUUUGCAAGGGUUCAGAAACAUAGUAGAACUAAAAUGUUAGUACUAACAACUAAGAAGGGGCAGCUAGGCUGAUUAAGAAAGUAAGUAUUCAAGACCAUAUCUUAUUUAGGAAGCUAAAGAUACUCAUCUUAAAAAUAUAACUGUGUCAGUCACUAAUUCAUUACCUCUCAGCUUCAAAUUGACGUCUGUCUCCUUUGCUGCUUUCCCGGCAGGCUGAUGUUUGGCUUUGCCAAUAGGGGGCGAUGGAAGGACACUCUAUAGCAGGAAGAAGGGGCUUUUCUUCUGAUGUUUUCCAUGGCUGCUAGCUAAUUGGCAUACAGAGCUGUUCUCAAUCAAUCACCUAAGUACCCCCACAGUUUACCCUUGGCUCAUGGCCUUCAUGUUUUAUCAGCAGGCAACACCUUUUGGCAAGUUUCUUAGCCACAAGUGGGUUGCAUGGUCCUAUGGCUGCCAGCGGAAAUCUAAAUCUCAGCCUGGUAGGGAGGCACUUAGUUUCUAACUUCCUUUCUUGUUCACUCUCCCUUACCCCUGGGGGUAAGGAUCUGCAUCCUGAAGUUGAUAUUCUGUAUCCCCUAGAGUCCACUUCUACCCCGUUUAGUAGUAAAUACAAGAAUUGCUAACUAGUAAAAGGUGGUUAAGUUUUUCAUGUUUGGUUACCUGUGCAAUGUGGUUUCUGUCUCCUAAGUAUGUAUUCAAAAUUGCAAGAUAACUAUGAAAAUAGAGUAAUAGCAGAAAGCCAAUAAAGUUGAUAUAUACAACUUCCAAAUUAGCAGUGAAGAAGAAAAGGUUAUAAAGAAAAAUCAACCCUGCAAAACGUAGGAGGGGAAAGCAAAGACAUAGUAGACAAUACAAAAGAUGGUCAAGAUACGUCUAAAUAUAUUUGUAAUUACAAUAAACAACACUAUUAAAAUCUAGAAUGUCAAAAGUAAAAAGCAGUUAUAUGCUGUUUAUAAGAGGUUCACAUGAAACAGAAAUGUUGAAAGUAAAAAGAUUAAAAGAUCCAUCCAAGAAUCAUUUAGAUUUCUGUUUAUAUUAAUGGCAGCAAACAAUAUAUUAAGAAACAGAUGCUCCCUAUUGCCACUUCUGUUCAACAAUGUAUUGCAGCCUGAGUAAUAAUAGGGCAAAAAUAGGUACAUCUAACCAAAACUUCUAUGUGCAGAUGAUAUGAUCAUGAGCAUGAAAUCCAAGAUAAUCUAAAUUGCUAGAAUUAACCAGAAAGUCUUCAGCAAGCUUGCUUGAUACAAUGUUAAAAAAACUGUAGUUCUGUUCCCUAAGAGAAAAUAAGUGCAUAAAAAUAUCAAUCUAUAUGAAUACAUUCAACAACCCCUAUAAGAAAACUAAAACUUUUUAAAUAAAUGUUAAACCUAAAAUGGAGAGCUAUGCCACGUUUGAGGUUGGAAAACCCAACAAAUGCCAUUUCUCUCCAAAUUAAUUAUAUGUUUAAUGAAAGCCCAAUAAAUCAACAGGUUGUGUGUGUAACUUGAUAAGCAGAUUCAAUGUACAUGGAACUACAAAAGGUAGAAAGCCGCCUACUCAACGCCAAAGUUCAUUUUCAAGCUGUAAUAACUAAGACAGAAUGGUACUAGUGCAGGGAGCCAACUGGGCCAAAAGAACAGAAAAGAGCCCAGAAACAGACCCAUUCACAUAUACUCAAUUUAUGACAGAGGUAGCACUGUGAACAAAGGGAAAAGAUAGACUUUUCAAUAAAAGGUGCUGGGACAAUUGGAUAUUCAUGUGAGAAAAUACGAAAUGGUCCUUUACUCAUAUCACAUUAAAAAAUCAAUCAACUCCAGGUAUAUUAGACUGUGUAAAGCAAAACUAUACAGCUGUAAGAUAAUAUAGGAGAAUAAUUUCACAACUUGUGACUAAGGCAAGAUUUCAUAACACGCAAAGAGCACUAACUAAAAGACCACACAUCUCUCCGUGAAAAUUAGGUACUUCUGUUCAUAAAAAUAAACUAUAGGCUGGUGCGGUGGCACACACUUUUAGUCCCAACUACUUGGAAGGCCGAGGUGGGAGGGACCACUUGAGCCCAGGUGUUCAAAGGCCAGCCUGGGCAACACAGUGAGAUCCCAUCUUUUUUUUUUUGAGAUGGAGUCUCGCUCUGUCACCCAGGCUGGAGUGCAGUGGCAUGAUCUCAGCUCACUGCAACCUCUGCUUCCUGGGUUCAAGUGAUUCUCCUGCCUCAGCCUCCUCAGUAGCUGGGACUACAGGCACAUGCCACCAUGCCAGGCUAAUUUUUUGUAUUUUUAGCAGAGACAGGGUUUCACUGUGUUAGCCAAGAUGGUCUCGAUCUCCUGACCUCGUGAUCUGCCCGCCUCGGCCUCGCAAAGUGCUGGGAUUACAGGCAUGAGCCACCACGCCCGGCCGAGAUCCCAUCUCUUUAAAAAACAAAAAACAAAAAACAAACAAAAAAAACACUAUGGGAGGGCCGGACACGGUGGCUCACACCUGUAAUCCCAGCACUUUGGGAGGUCAAGG